rnacentral:rRNA from 1 species
GUGUCAGCAGCCGCGGUAAUACGUAGGGAGCGAGCGUUGUCCGGAUUUAUUGGGCGUAAAGAGCUCGUAGGCGGUUUGGUAAGUCGGGUGUGAAAGCUCCGGGCUCAACUCGGAGAGGUCACUCGAUACUGCCAUGACUGGAGUCCGGUAGGGGGGUGUGGAAUUCCCAGUGUAGCGGUGAAAUGCGCAGAUAUUGGGAGGAACACCAAUGGCGAAGGCAGCACCCUGGGCCGGUACUGACGCUGAGGAGCGAAAGCGUGGGGAGCAAACAGGAUUAGAUACCCUCGUAGUCC